rnacentral:ncRNA from 1 species
UGUAAAGCUUUGAUCAGAAAUAGUAAAGAUAUAUGAAAUUUUCAGAGAGCCGAAGGUGCUGUGAUUCGGUAAUUUCAAAAUCUCGAACUCGUCUGUGAGCUGUCUCCUGAAAUUAGUAGGGUAGAACGUAUUUCCCACGUUAUAGGGAUAGAUGGUAAUAGCCAUUGAUAUUUAUGGAAAGCCAUCGAAAGCGAAUUUUAGAAAUAAAAUUAAUUAGAGUGGUACCGCGGGUUAACCUCGUCUCUUCA